GGAGAAGCCUAGAGACCAGCUGCACCUGUUUGCUUUCGCUUCAGUCUGCCAAAAGGCUGUACAGAAGUUCUUUGGGUAUCUGUUGCCUGUGUCUUUUUUGGGGGGAGGGGGGGAUGGAUUGGGAAUCUGAUGUUGGUUUUCCCAAGAUCUUCCUGAUCUGGAGACACAUUCCGCUUGGAGCCAUGAGGGCAGCAUUUGCAGAGCAGCCUCUCAGCCUCGAGAGCCUUUGAAAUACCGCCCCUUUUGCCCCUUCCACCCCCAUUUGAGCUGUGUACUGCUUUGCUUAAUGAGACUGAGACUGUCAGCAACAAAAGAGUAGUGAUGAGCCAAACAAGUCUUCUUGGAACCUAUGUUUGUUUGCUGUUUAUAGCUGAGGGUCUCCAGCUUUACCUUUUAGAAGAGACUGCAAAUCUCUUUCCAGCAAGUACAACCAAAGUGGGUAGAGUAGUGUCAACAUCAAGGUAGGGGUUCUUAACCGUUUUUAUAUGUCAUCAACCUCUUUGGUAGCCUGGUGAAACCUGGAAAUAAUGUUUGUUGUUGACUAUGAUAAUUGAAUUUUUUUUUUUUUG
rnacentral:lncRNA from 1 species